rnacentral:rRNA from 1 species
UACGUAGGGCGCAAGCGUUGUCCGGAAUUAUUGGGCGUAAAGAGCUCGUAGGCGGUGUGUCACGUCGGCCGUGAAAACCUGGGGCUUAACUCUGGGCGUGCGGUCGAUACGGGCAUCACUAGAGUUCGGCAGGGGAGACUGGAAUUCCUGGUGUAGCGGUGAAAUGCGCAGAUAUCAGGAGGAACACCGGUGGCGAAGGCGGUUCUCUGGGCCUGUACUGACGCUGAGGAGCGAAAGCGUGGGGAGCGAACAGG